rnacentral:sRNA from 1 species
ACUUGUCAUUUCAUGAAACAGACUGGUCUCAGACAGUAAUCACCUUUUCUAUGGAGGGGAAAAGAGCAAGUAUUUGCUGUUAAGAUAUAUAUGAAAACUGAUAUUCCUCUUUGCUUUAAAUUCCCAUGUGAAAAGUAUCUUGGGAAAAAUGAACCCCCUAUUUUAUUUAUCUAUUUUUACAGAAAAUGCAAAUAUUAAUUAUGGACAGUGAUCUUUAGCCUUUUGGACAGAUUUAAAUGCUGAGACAGCAAGAGCAGACUGAAAUCAGGAUUGAGAAAUAGAGCGAGAAAGCAGGGGGAAAUCAGAAAGGGGUCGCAAAGCGAGAUGGGGAAACUCAAAGUUACUGGGGAAUAGAAUUUCCCUAGCACUAGUCACAAUACGUAUGUUUGUUCAAAAGCAAGAGGCGGGGAAGACAUGCAUGCCUGAUGCUGAAGAAAAGCCUGUUUGUGUCUCACACACUGGAGAAAUUGUUCAAGAACAGUCCAUCGAUGUGAAAAUAUGACCCAUGUCAUCUUGCCAGGGUAGUUAAGACACUCAGUAGCUGAGUAAAGCCUGAUUGGAUAAAUUCACAAUCCUGGGGGUGUACAUACUUCCUAGUAUCCAGUUUUUCUAAGAUACAAAAAAAAAUGUCAGUGGAAAUAAGGUUACAGAGUGCCACAUGUGUGGGCGAGACAAGGUCUCCAUAGGGUGGGAACCAGGCAGAACUCAGACAUGGCUCAUUCUUUUAGUUUCUGCUCCAUUUUCUUAGUGGUCAAAAUGAGAAACAAAGGAUAAAUGCCCAGCACUAGCAAAAAAGAGGGAACUGUGAUAUUUAGAGAUGGGGAGGAGGGAAAGGUUACCGACUAGCAUCGAAAUGAAUUUCCCAUUCUCCUUUACUAUUGUCGUCUUUCACAAACUCCCAGUGUGUCUAGAGAUAAAACCCCAACAUUUACUGUAGGGGUGCGUUUUUCCAAGGAGAUCCAAGGAUGUGAACUCUGUCUAUGGAAAGUGAAUGUCCAAAGGUAUGCAGGAAACAUUGACUAUAGCAAAGGCUUGCAAAGGGGCAACAACAUGGUGGGUGCAAGUGAAACAGAAAAAAAUGAGCCCAUCUUGGAGAAACUUUCUUGCCCUCUGUCUGGUGAUUUCUGUAGGCUUUUGCCUGGAUUCAUCCUGAUGGUAAUAAUUUCAGGUUCAGAAAGCACUGUGGAAGAGGAGGCAUAAAGAGUGCAGUGCGAAGGCCAGAGGACGUGAAUACCCACAAGGCAUCAGUGGUUUUUGUACAUUGAGGACUUCUGUACGUAUGAAUUGUCAACAGCUAUGACAGCACACACAAGACCUGUGCAACUCAAGCCAGACAAAAUUUCAUCAUGCAGAAAAAGGUGGGCAUGGAGUGCCACUCCACCUUGGGGAAGUAUUGGCAAUGGACAGCUGCUACGGGAAGUAGAAUCAAUUUUCUCUAAGAAGAUGCCUGUGUCACAGCUUCCACCAUAAUGCGAGAUGGCAGAUGAGAAGGAGCCUUCCAGUUCAGUUCCAGAUAAUUUCUCUAUAUCAUGCAAUGACGUUUUGUGGUGUCUUGAGCAGCAGCUCUUAUCAUUUACUUCUGCUACCAAGAAGAAUGCCAAGAGUCUGGGUUGGGGAUUUAGCUCAGUGGUAGAGCAGUUGCCUAGCAAGUGCAAGGCCCUGGGUUUGGUCCCCAGCUCCGAAAAAAAGAAAAAAAAAUGCCAAGAGUCUACAUUAUUUACAGUCUUCCAGUACUCCUGAUUAACAGUUCAUUAGAGGGGUACCCAUAUUGGACGCUAGAGUUUUAGUUUAAUAAACUAUGGUUUCAAGAAGAAAUUUUUCCAGUCAUAUAAAGCAGCUCCCUCCCAACUUAAAACAAAUUUUUUUACAUGAUUGGUGCUUGCCAUGGGGUUUCUCCAUGUCAUCAUCAUGUUGGUUAACCCUCCCAGAAUCUUUUCACCUUUCUCUCCUAUUUCCCCUACUUAAACUUCCUCCUACAGUGUCCAUUCUUUCUAUGUUCAAAUUACCUGAGAUCUCUUCACCCUCCUAAUGGCUGGUUCCUAGAUUUAUAAACUCCAUAGAGACUCUAAGCUGAACACACAAUAUUAAAAGCCACAUAAGAAGGACGACAUUUGAUACAAGUUUUUUUUUUUUUGUGCCUGCAAAACCUCACUCCAUACAAUGUUUUCAAGUUACAUUCAUUUUCCUAUAAACUUUAUGUUUCUUUAGAGCUCAAUAAAUUCCAUUGUUGAAUAACAUUCAUGCUGAGACUAUUUCUUAAUUAUUGUGGAUAUAGUACAAAUAAACAUGAAUAGGCAAAUGUCUUUGAGUGAGAUAGAGUGAUUCCCAGGAAGUGGAAUAGCUUGAACAUACAAAAUUCUAGUUUGACCUUUUGGGGAAGCUUCACACUGAUUUCCAUAAUAACUAUACCAUUUUUCACUCCAUCAGCAGAAACUAGGGGUUCACCUACCCCCACGUUCAUGUUCGCAUUUUUGUCAUUUGAGCUCUUGGCAGUGUGGACUUUAAAAAUACUUUUAUUGUCCAUUUAUAUUUCUUCGUUUUAGAACUAUUCAUAUCAGUAGCCCUUUUUGUAUUAAUUUUCUGUUUUAUUUUUAUGUUUGAGGGUGUUUUGU